AUUGAACGCUGGCGGCAGGCCUAACACAUGCAAGUCGAGCGAGCGGCGGACGGGUGCGUAAUGCCUGGGAAUUGCCCAGUCGAGGGGGAUAACAGUUGGAAACGACUGCUAAUACCGCAUACGAUUAGAUUGCCCAGGUUGGAUUAGCUAGUUGGUGAGGUAAUGGCUCCCCAGGGCGACGAUCCCUAGCUGGUCUGCGAGGAUGAGCCGCAACACUAGAAAGGAGACCAGGUCCAGACUCCUACGUGAGGCAGCAGUGGGGAAUAUUGCCCAAGGGUGGAAGCCCUGAUGCAGCCAUGCCGCGUGUGUGAAUAAGGCCUUCGGGUUGUAAAGCACUUUCAGCGAGGAGGCGUUACUCGCAGAAGAAGCACCGGCUAACUCCGUGCGAGCAGCCGCGGUAAUUC
rnacentral:rRNA from 1 species